UUCAACCAAACCAGGACUGCCACUGGCUGCUAAAGGGAAGAAAAGGCUCCAUAAAGAAUUCCAGUGUACCUCCUGCCCUGGCAGCCAUUCUGCUGUUUCUAUGGAAACAUUCACCAGAUAGCAGCAUGCUAUACUGUGCAAGUGAAGAAGAAGGCAUCUUCCUUUCAUCACCACAUCUAGAGUGUGACCACUUCACAGAAUGAAAGAAUGUGGUGAACACAGUUCUUUAUUCUGACAGAUAAAUCGUUCAAGAGAAAGGGGACAGAUGCCAGUGACAUUUUCUUGGACUUCCCAGCCUCUAGAACCAUGAUCCAAAUAAACUUAUAUUGUUUAUAAAUUA